AGAAUCAACGCUGGCGGCGCGCUUAACACAUGCAAGUCGAGCGAGAAAGUGGAGCAAUCCAUGAGUAAAGCGGCGUACGGGUGAGUAACACGUGGAUCAUCUACCUUUUUGUGGGGGAUAACCCUGGGAAACCGGAGCUAAUACCGCAUAAGUCCGUAAGGAGAAAGCAGCAAUGCGCUGAAAGAGGAGUCCGCGGCCGAUUAGCUAGUUGGUGAGGUAACGGCUCACCAAGGCGAUGAUCGGUA
rnacentral:rRNA from 1 species